AACGCGAAGAACCUUACCUGGGUUUGACAUCCACUGACAGCCGUAGAGAUACGGUUUCCUCUUCGGAGGCAGUGAGACAGGUGCUGCAUGGCUGUCGUCAGCUCGUAUCGUGAGAUGUCGGGUUAAGUCCCUUAACGAGCGCAACCCUUAUCCCUAGUUGCCAUCAUUCAGUUGGGCACUCUAUGGAGACUGCCGGUGUUAAACCGGAGGAAGGCGGGGAUGACGUCAAGUCCUCAUGGCCUUUAUAUCCAGGGCUACACACGUGCUACAAUGGCCGGUACAGAGGGUAGCCAACCCGCGAGGGGGAGCUAAUCUCAGAAAGCCGGUCUCAGUUCGGAUUGAAGUCUGCAACUCGACUUCAUGAAGCUGGAAUCGCUAGUAAUCGCGGAUCAGAACGCCGCGGUGAAUACGUUCCCGGGCUUGUACACACCGAGACGUA
rnacentral:rRNA from 1 species